UGGCUUUGAAGUCAACUCCAAAAGAUGUUUCCAAAAUGUUUGGCAAGACCACACACUCUCCUCAGAAUUGUGCGCGGUCUCCCUGGGUGGCCAUUUUGAAGCGGAUACAACUCAUUUGAACGUCCGAUUUCAGGUGUACAAUAUAGUGAUUCAACAAUUCUAUACACUACUCAGUCCUCAUCAUGGGAAGUGAAAGGCCACUGGCCGGAAAGCCGAAGACCUGGUUCUGCCGCUGUCUGGGUCCCCUUGCGCAGGUAACAACCCCUCUGCCCCUCCGUGUCCUCCGCGUUCUCGUUCUCUGCCUUUCUCUGCCUAAGGCAUUGCUCUCACCACGGGGUUGGCGUCAGCUUUAAAGGGGAUCACCGAGGACACAGUCAGAAAUCAUCGCUGUGGAAUUGGGAGCAGCUGCUAAUGGACACUGCACCCCAUUUCUUUCUGUGGCAGAGAAACAUCCUCAAAUUAAAUGGUGGCGAUGGCCGACUAACCCUGUGAAAACAGUACAAAAACACCCAACUGUACACUUUAAAUGGCUGAAUUAUGUGGCA